rnacentral:rRNA from 1 species
ACGGGAGGCAGCAGUGAGGAAUAUUGGUCAAUGGACGGAAGUCUGAACCAGCCAAGUCGCGUGCAGGAUGACUGCCCUAUGGGUUGUAAACUGCUUUUAUAUAGGAAUAAAAAAAUCUACGUGUAGAUUAUUGUAGGUACUAUAAGAAUAAGGAUCGGCUAACUCCGUGCCAGCAGCCGCGGUAAUACGGAGGAUUCGAGCGUUAUCCGGAUUUAUUGGGUUUAAAGGGUGCGUAGGCGGGAUGAUAAGUCAGCGGUGAAAGUUUGUAGCUUAACUAUAAAAUUGCCAUUGAAACUGUCGUUCUUGAGUGCAAAUGAGGUAGGCGGAAUGUGUUGUGUAGCGGUGAAAUGCAUAGAUAUAACACAGAACACCGAUUGCGAAGGCAGCUUACUGGGAUGCAACUGACGCUGAGGCACGAAAGCGUGGGGAUCGAACAGGAUUAGAUACCCUGGUA